rnacentral:lncRNA from 1 species
AUUGAUUUGGAUAUCUUUACACCGUUAAACGAGAAAACGUCUCUUAUCCACCAUUAAAAUUACAAAGUUUGAAACCUUUUGAUCAUUAGGCAAAUGAUAUUGAAAAGAUUUGAAAUUUGAUUUCUAAAGACUUCAAGUGGUAUAGAUCAUAUUCAACGGAGCCGAUCGUCAAUUUGGAAGCUCUAUCAUCGAAAACAACUCGAUAGUAAAAUGUUCCGUUUACUAUCGAGAGUAUUCUAGCUCAACUCUAUAUAUAUAUAUAUAUAUAUAUAUAUUAAAUUUUGUUGCAUCUCUAAUUAAACAAAUUGAAAAAUUAG